rnacentral:rRNA from 1 species
AUUGAACGCUGGCGGCAUGCUUUACACAUGCAAGUCGAACGGUAACAGGGAGCUUGCUCCGCUGACGAGUGGCGAACGGGUGAGUAAUGCGUCGGAACGUGCCGAGUAGUGGGGGAUAACGCAUCGAAAGGUGUGCUAAUACCGCAUACGUACUGAGGUAGAAAGUGGGGGACCUUCGGGCCUCACGCUAUUCGAGCGGCCGACGUCUGAUUAGCUAGUUGGUGAGGUAAAGGCUCACCAAGGCGACGAUCAGUAGCGGGUCUGCGAGGAUGAUCCGCCACACUGGGACUGAGACACGGCCCAGACUCCUACGGGAGGCGGCAGUGGGGAAUUUUGGACAAUGGGCGCAAGCCUGAUCCAGCCAUGCCGCGUGUCUGAAGAAGGCCUUCGAGUUGUAAAGGACUUUUGUCCGGGAGCAAAUGCCUGGUGUUAAUAGCACUGGGAGCUGAGAGUACCGGAAGAAUAAGCACCGGCUAACUACGUGCCAGCCGCCGCCGUAACAC